UCCCUGCUAGCACAGUCGGUAGAGCAUGAGACUCUUAAUCUCGGGGUCGUGGCUUCAGGCCCCAUGUUGGGCA
rnacentral:tRNA from 1 species